rnacentral:rRNA from 1 species
UACGUAGGGCGCAAGCGUUUGUCCGGAAUUAUUGGGCGUAAAGAGCUUGUAGGCGGUCUGUCGCGUCUGCUGUGAAAAUCCGGGGCUCAACCCCGGACUUGCAGUGGGUACGGGCAGACUAGAGUGUGGUAGGGGAGACUGGAAUUCCUGGUGUAGCGGUGAAAUGCGCAGAUAUCAGGAGGAACACCGAUGGCGAAGGCAGGUCUCUGGGCCACUACUGACGCUGAGAAGCGAAAGCAUGGGGAGCGAACAGG